rnacentral:lncRNA from 1 species
AGGAAGAAAAAUUGUGGAAGACUGAUUGUCGGGCAAGGAGUUGACUGCUUCUAUGGCCUUGUCUAUAGCAAAGUCAAAAUGGGCCAAGCAUGUUCUCAGAAGGUCAUCUGCCAAAAUAUAGGGAAGGGUUUCCUCUACAAAAUCGUCCAUUUUGUCUAUUAGGAAGCACUCAACUUCCUUUGCGGGUUGAUCAGAGGCACGAAAUAUAUUUAACUUGACCUUUAUAUUCCCAAAAGAUAUAUUCAUCACCCUAGUUCUACAAUUUAUACUCGCAUUGGCUGUAGUUGAAAAAGGACGACCUAGAAUCAUAGGGAUCUGUUUCUUAAGAUUAGGCACAGGUUCCAUAUCAAGGACGAUAAAAUCGACUGAAAAAUAAAAUUUGUCUACCUUGACUAGGACGUCUUCAAUUGUUCCUCGUAGUAUUUUUACAGAUCUAUCAGCCAAUUGUAGGGACACCGAAGUAGGUUUCAAUUCACCUAGUCCAAAUUUCUCAUAAACUGAGUAAGGAAGAAUAUUAACACUGGCUCCUAAAUCUAAGAG